rnacentral:lncRNA from 1 species
AUGACGGAGAAGGGAAUGGGCCGUGGGGCCGGGGGCUUGGGGGGGGGGGGGGCGCAAGGGGAGUGGGUUGGUGCCCCGGGGUCCGGCGGGGCGUGCCCCCUCUCCCGUCCCCCCUCGGCCGCCGGGCGGUCCCCGGGGGGAGGCCGCCCCGCGGUGCCACCCGCGCCCAGACGGUCACGCUCGCUCCCGCAGCCCCGCGCCCGGACUCGGCGGCGGGCGGGCCCGGGACCGGCCCGGGGCUCCGGCGGCGGCGGGGUCCCCCGGCCGGCCCCGCGGGGAUCCCCCGCCGUUCAGGGGGAGCCCACUCCUCGGAGCGCUCUUCGCCGCCGACGCCUCCCCGGACGAAGACGACGCCAGCGACCUCACCCACGGCUUCGGCCACAUCCUCUGUGGGAAUCCUAUCAAGGCCCUUCACGAGCGACGGCAGAAACUGAAGCCGCCGCCGCCGUGCCGUCCCUUCUCGGCCGGCCCCGAGAAGCCCCCGGAGCAGGAGGAGGAGGAGGAGGACGCCCCGGAGGACCCCCCGGAGGAGGAGGCCCCGGCGGAGGAGGCCCCGGAGGAGCCGCGCGGCCCCGGGCACGUGGUCGCCCGGCUCCAGGCCCGGCGGCGACGGCGCUGGCGGUGAGGGCGGGGCCGAGCACGUGGCUCGGGGGCGAGAGCCCGGGCCUGCGAGUCGGAGGGCACGGGUUCUAAUCCCCACCCCGCCGCCUGUCUGCUGGGUGACCUCGGGCGACCCACUUUGCGUCUCUGGGCCUCGGUUCCCUCAUCUGUCAGAUGGGGAUGAAGACCGGGAGCCCCACGGCGGACAACCUGAUCGGCUUGUGUCUACCCCGGGACUUAGAACAGUGUUUGGCACAUAGGGAGCGCUUAACACGGGGCUCGGUGGAAAGAGCGUGGGGUUUGGAGUCAGAGGCCAUGGGUUCGAAUCCCAGCUCUGCCACUUGUCAGCCGGGUGACUGUGGGCGAGUCACUUCGCUUCUCUGGGCCUCGGUGACCUCACCUGGAAAAUGGGGAUGGAGACCGGGAGCCCCGCGGGGGACGACCCGAUUCCCCUGCGUCUCCCCCGGCGCUUAGAACGGCACAUAGUAAGCGCUUAACGGAUGCCAACGUUAUCAUUAACAAAUGCCGUCAUUAUUUUUUCGAAAAGCAGCGUGGCUUAGCGGCAAGAGCCCGGUCUUGGGAGUCGGAGGUCGUGGGUUCAAAUGCCGGCUCCGCCCCUAGUCUGCUGGGUGACCUUGGGUGAGCCGCUUCAUUUCUCUGGGGUUCAGUUAACUCAUCGGGAAAAUGGGGAUUAAAAGCGUGAGCCCCACGUGGGACAACCCGAUUCCCCUGUAUCUACCCCGGCGUUUAGAACGGUGCUUGGCAUGUAGUAAGCUCUUAACAAAUACCACUAUUAUUAUUAUUAUUAUUAUUAUUAUUAUCAUCGUUGAUCUCUGGGCCUCAGUUCCCUCAUCUAUAGAACGGGGACGAAGACCGUGAGCCCCACGUGGGGCAACGUGCUUACCUCGCAUCUACCCCAGGGCCUAGAACAGUGCUUAGCACGUAAUAAGCGCUUAACAAAUACCACAAUUCUGAUUCUUCUCCGCGCCUCAGUUCCCUCAUCGGUCAAAUGGGGAUGAAGACUGGGAGCCCCUCGGGGAGCAACCUCAUUACCUGGCGUCUACUCCAGACGCUUAGAACAGUGCUUGGCACACAGUAAGCGCUGAACAAAUGCCAUCACAAUAAUAAUAAUAAUACUGGUCAUCAUUAUUAGGAUUGGGCCAGCCCCGGGACAGACAGGCCCGGGGUGAUGGACGGCUCUGGGGGCGGGGCCCGUGGUGAUGGAUGUGUCCGGGGGCGGGGCCCGUGGUGAUGGACGUGUCUGGGGGCGGGGUCUGACUUGAUGGACGUGUCUAGGGGCGAGGUCUGACUUGAUGGACGUGUCUAGGGGCGGGGUCUGACUUGAUGGACGUGUCUAGGGGCGGGGGGUCUGACUUGAUGGACGUGUCUGGGGGCGGGGCCUGUGGUGAUGGACGUGUCCUGGGAUGGGGCCUGUGGUGAUGGACGUGUCUGGGGGCGGGGUCUGACUUGAUGGACGUGUCUAGGGGUGAGGUCUGACUUGAUGGACGUGUCUAGGGGCGGGGUCUGACUUGAUGGACGUGUCUAGGGGCGAGGUCUGACUUGAUGGACGUGUCCAGGGUCGGGGCCUGUGGUGACGGACGUGUUUUGGGGCGGGGCCUGGCUUGAUGGACGUGUCCGGGGGGGGG